AGGGGACGGCGGUGUUCUGGUACAACCUGUAUCCAAGCGGAGAAGGAGACUAUCGGACCCGACACGCCGCCUGCCCCGUGCUGCUGGGAAACAAGUGGGUAUCGAACAAAUGGAUCCACGAGCGAGGGCAGGAGUUCAGGCGGCGCUGCAGCCUCAACGAGACCGACUGACGACCGACCUUCCUCCUCCAUCUCAGCCGUCUUCCUCCUCUGCUUCCUGCCUGCAGGCGCAGAGUGUGACUGCACAUGUGAUCCAACACGCUUAUUUUUCUCUACAGCGUGUGUGUGUGCGUGUGUGUGUGUGUGUGUGUGUGUGUUUGACUCGUUUCUCCUUUAACGAGAAUCACGCUGACGUUCAGACGUCCGUACCUGUCCAGGUGUUCAGCCUGAGAGCUAAAGCUUCUCGAGAACAAAGAACGCUGCACAAGAGGUUCGUUUAAAGACGAAUAAAGUUUUUGGGGUUUUUUUGGAUCCAGAAUGUUUGAAAUCUCGUGAGCUUUGACUUAAAAGCAGAAAAUCUGAUUGAUUUAAUUCUGUUCCAUCGACGGUUCUGCCGAUUAAACCAGCGAGUGGAACGAAGGAGCGCUAAAUGUGACAAAUUUUGAAUGGAGUUUGGCCCGAGGUCGCUAACACAAGCUCUAAAUGGUAAACUCUAAACCGACGCCCGUCCGUUUCAGCGUUCCUUGUUCUUCCGAUGAGCCAGACACUACAGACCGAGAAACGCUCCGUCACCCGUGUCACUCCCUGACCUUCAUGACUGUUACAAAGACGGCGAGGAAUCAGAUUACUCUCGUCAUCACGGGAACCAACCAGAAGCAAGAACCGAUCGAAUCUGAACUGACGAUCGAUCGUGUGGUUCUGUGAGACAAUCAUAGCUGAAACUGAGCUGCGUAUUUAUUGAUUUCUGACAGGAUUCGUGUGAACGCCUCUUCACUGUUUUUCAUCUGCGUUUUAAAAAUUCCUCUUUUAAAAGUUUUAAAUGUUUGCACGUUUUUUUUCUGUUUCCUGUUUCUUUUUGAAGUCUGAAACGUGUCGCGAGCUCCUGAUCUGAUUCAUGUUACCUCAGCCGUGACAAAGUGGGUUUUAUUUUGGAAACUUCCACGCUUCAGCUGCCAUGCUUUUAUUCUGAAAAGCAGAACACCUGAGGCUCUUUGAUCUACAAAUUCAGUCCAAGUGGAUUUUUCUGCGCUGUCCACCCGUCGUCAUGGUUACACCCCCGUUUCCACCAAUAGCGUGAGCGUUCGAGGUGGUUUAAGGUCGUUCAGAUGCUGCAGGUCAAACUCCAGAUAAGCAAAGCACGCCGCCUCCUCUUUAACCCUGUUAGCUUAUAUCUGAGCACAGUUACUAAUUUCUGCUCCACGCCGUUUCCGUGACAACCCUCACUCCUGUUUGUGUGUGUCUGUUGUGUGUUGGAUGAUGUCCUGUGCAGUGACCUGAUGUAAGACACGUUUCUUAUCAGAAUAAAAUGCUGCUGCAACCCAGGAGAAGUAAGAAAA